AGGACGAACGCUGGCGGCGUGCUUAACACAUGCAAGUCGAACGGUGAAGCCCUUCGGGGCGGAUCAGUGGCGAACGGGUGAGUAACACGUGAGCAAUCUGCCCUUGACUCUGGGAUAACUUCGGGAAACCGGAGCUAAUACCGGAUAUGACAUACGGCCGCAUGGUCUGUGUGUGGAAAGAUUUAUCGGUCAGGGAUGAGCUCGCGGCCUAUCAGCUUGUUGGUGGGGUAAUGGCCUACCAAGGCGACGACGGGUA
rnacentral:rRNA from 1 species